rnacentral:rRNA from 1 species
GGAUGCGAUCGUACCGGCACUAAAGCACCGGAUCCCAUCUGAACUCCGAAGUUAAGCGUGCUUGGACGAGAGUAGUACUAGGAUGGGUGACCUCCUGGGAAGUCCUCGUGUUGCAUUCC